rnacentral:rRNA from 1 species
UACGAAGGGGGCUAGCGUUGCUCGGAAUUACUGGGCGUAAAGGGCGCGUAGGCGGCACUGUUAGUCAGGCGUGAAAUUCCUGGGCUCAACCUGGGGACUGCGCUUGAUACGGCAGAGCUUGAGGAUGGAAGAGGGUCGCGGAAUUCCCAGUGUAGAGGUGAAAUUCGUAGAUAUUGGGAAGAACACCGGUGGCGAAGGCGGCCAACUGGACCAUUACUGACGCUGAGGCGCGAAAGCGUGGGGAGCAAACAGG